GGGGGGGGGGGGGGGGGUGGGUGGGGGGGGGGGGGCGGGCGGGGGGGCGGGGGGGGUGCUGCUGUGGGGUGCGCGGCGGGCGUGGGAGUGACGCGUGGAUGACCUACCUCUGCGACUGGGAUAACUUCGGGAACCCGGAGCUACUACCGGGGACUAUCUUGACCCGCCUUGUUCCAUCGUGGAAGCCGGUUUUGCUCUCACUUAUAGAUUAGUCCGCGCCGCAUUAGCUAGUUGGUACGGUCAGGUCGUAACCAGGCAACUCUGCGUAGCCUCCCUGAGAGGGUGAUAGGCCACACUGGAACUGAGACACGGUCCAGACUCCUACGGGAGGCAGCAGUAGGGAAUCUUCCGCAAUGGGCGAAAGCCUGACGGAGCAACGCCGCGUGAGUGAUGAAGGUCUUCGGAUCGUAAAACUCUGUUAUUAGGGAAGAACAAAUGUGUAAGUAACUAUGCACGUCUUGACGGUACCUAAUCAGAAAGCCACGGCUAACUACGUG
rnacentral:rRNA from 1 species